UGACCUCAAAUCAGGUAGGACUACCCGCUGAACUUAAGCAUAUCAAUAAGCGGAGGAAAAGAAACUAACAAGGAUUCCCCUAGUAACUGCGAGUGAAGCGGGAAAAGCUCAAAUUUAAAAUCUGGCGGUCUUUUGGUCGUCCGAGUUGUAAUCUAGAGAAGUGUUAUCCGCGCUGGACCAUGUACAAGUCUCCUGGAAUGGAGCAUCAUAGAGGGUGAGAAUCCCGUCUUUGACAUGGACUGCCAGGGCUUUGUGAUGCGCUCUCAAAGAGUCGAGUUGUUUGGGAAUGCAGCUCAAAAUGGGUGGUAAAUUCCAUCUAAAGCUAAAUAUUGGCGAGAGACCGAUAGCGAACAAGUACCGUGAGGGAAAGAUGAAAAGAACUUUGGAAAGAGAGUUAAACAGUACGUGAAAUUGCUGAAAGGGAAACGCUUGAAGUCAGUCACGUUGACCAGGGAUCAACCCAGCUUUUGCUUGGUGCACUUCCUGGUUUGACGGGUCAGCAUCAGUUUUGACCAUUGGAAAAAGAUGAAGGGAAUGUGGCAUCUUUGGAUGUGUUUAUAGCCCUUGGUCACAUACAGUGGUUGGGAUUGAGGAACUCGGCAUGCCGCAAGGAUGUGCUUAGGA
rnacentral:rRNA from 1 species